CCAGGUACAGUAACAAUGCAGUGACCCCUGACCCUGGUGUGACCCCCUGACCCUGGCGUGACCUGUGGGGUUAACCCUUUGAGCCCAGGUGGGCAGUGGGCGUUGCUCCCAGCACUGCUGACGUCACUGUCCUGAUAGCACCCCCCACCCCCCUCUCGGGCAGUCUGGCCGGGGGCCCCGGUUCUCCCCUUCGCCCUGGCGGUGGUGGGUCCCGCGGAGAGCCCUGCGCUGGGGGUGAUCGGGCGGAGGGGGGGCAGGCUCGGGGCUGACACCUCAGAGCGCUCGCGCCGGGCUGGCGGCGGGAAACCAGGAGGAAGGAAGCGCGCCUUUGAAACUUGGCGCGUAUUCGACG